CCUACGGGAGGCAGCAGUGAGGAAUAUUGGUCAAUGGGAGAGAUCCUGAACCAGCCAAGCCGCGUGAGGGAAGACGGCCCUAUGGGUUGUAAACCUCUUUUGUCGGAGAACAAAACCCGGCACGUGUCCCUGACUGCGUGUAUCCGAAGAAAAAGCAUCGGCUAACUCCGUGCCAGCAGCCGCGGUAAUACGGAGGAUGCGAGCGUUAUCCGGAUUUAUUGGGGUUAAAGGGUGCGUAGGCGGUCCGUUAAGUCAGCGGUAAAAUUGGGGGGCUCAACCCUGUCGUGGCGUUUGAAAUGGGAGACUUGAGUUGGCGAGAAGUAAGCGGGAUGUGGGGUGUAGCGGUGAAAUGCAUAGGUAACGCGGAGAACUCCGAUUGCGAAGGCAGCGUACCGGCGCCAGACUGACGCUGGGGCACGAAAGCGUGGGGAUCGAACAGGAUUAGAUACCCCGGGUAGUC
rnacentral:rRNA from 1 species